UACAGCCAUAUCAUGUUGAAACACUGGUUCUCAUAUGAUCACCAAAGUUAAACAAUUUCACAUCUGGUCAGUACCUAGAUGAGUAACCAUUUGGGAAUACCAGGUGCCGUAAG